rfam:Lutzomyia longipalpis Contig22282, whole genome shotgun sequence.
CCUUCGAUAGCUCAGUUGGUAGAGCGGUGGACUGUAGAGAGAGAUACCCCAUUGGAAUCCAUCGGAUUCCAUGGGAAAUGCCCCAGAAAUCCAUAGGUCGCUGGUUCAAAUCCGGCUCGAAGGA